AGAGUUUGAUCCUGGCUCAGAUUGAACGCUGGCGGCAUGCCUUACACAUGCAAGUCGAACGGCAGCACGGAGCUUGCUCUGGUGGCGAGUGGCGAACGGGUGAGUAAUAUAUCGGAACGUACCCUAGAGUGGGGGAUAACGUAGCGAAAGUUACGCUAAUACCGCAUACGAUCUAAGGAUGAAAGUGGGGGAUCGCAAGACCUCAUGCUCGUGGAGCGGCCGAUAUCUGAUUAGCUAGUUGGUAGGGUAAAAGCCUACCAAGGCAUCGAUCAGUAGCUGGUCUGAGAGGACGACCAGCCACACUGGAACUGAGACACGGUCCAGACUCCUACGGGAGGCAGCAGUGGGGAAUUUUGAACAAUGGGCGAAAGCCUGAUCCAGCAAUGCCGCGUGAGUGAAGAAGGCCUUCGGGUUGUAAAGCUCUUUUGUCAGGGAAGAAACGGUGAGAGCUAAUAUCUCUUGCUAAUGACGGUACCUGAAGAAUAAGCACCGGCUAACUACGUGCCAGCAGCCGCGGUAAUACGUAGGGUGCAAGCGUUAAUCGGAAUUACUGGGCGUAAAGCGUGCGCAGGCGGUUUUGUAAGUCUGAUGUGAAAUCCCCGGGC
rnacentral:rRNA from 1 species